rnacentral:lncRNA from 10 species
GGCCGGGCUCGGCGCCGGGGGUCGGGGAAAGAAGAACUAGGUCUGGCAGUAGAUCAGAAUCUACCUGUUGGGGAAAACCAGAAAUAGGAAGAAGAGUUAUUAAUGGUUCAUUCUUGGCUGAGAAGAAUUCAGUAUGGAAUAAUUAAGGACUGACUUUAAGAGAAUCUACUUGUCACUGGAUUUAGGGUACACCUGGAUAAUCCAAGAUGAUCUCACCUGAAAAUUUUUAAUUACAUCUGCAAAGACCUUUUCUUCAAAUAAAGUAAUAUUCACAGGGUCUGGGGAUUGGGAUAUGGAUGUGUCUUUUCAGGAGCCACCAUUUAACCCACUAAAUUCAUUAUAUGCUGUUUAAUGCUGUAUCUUCCUUUUGGAUUGAAGAGAUAUGCUUCUGUUUGAAGAUGGGCAAGUGGGCUAGGGAAUUUUUGGCUAGUAGGUAGAAAGGAACUUUAAAAAUAUUUCUGGUUGGUGCUGUUUAGUAAGUGCUUGUUAAACUUUCAGAGGUCAAAUAUCUUGAACACAAAUUGGAGAAGGAGUAAAUCAGUAUAAAGUGAAAAAUAUGAUAUUUUCUCCAAAAGGCAGUCACUGACUGCUUUGGCAGAAAGAAUUGAGGUGAUUACUCAAGAGUUCCACCAAAUUGUUGUGCUAGCUUUUACAUUUGCAAACUAUAAAAAACGGGACUAAAUUAAGUAGCAGCUCACUUUUUUUAUUAACAGUAUUACAAGUUGACUUUUUCAUUUCUUGUGUAAUUGAGAUAAAAGGGGGGGUGUGUGUAUGAGAGAGAGACAAAGAUUUUGUUAAUGGUUUUAGUAUGAUUCAUUUCUUAUGUCAUAUGGGCAUUCUAAUUUGAGUCAUAUUAAUUAAGGUGAUCUAUGUAUGUAAACUCUUUGAGGGAGGGACUUGGCAUGCCUUGUAUACAGCUAGAUCCCCAGUGUAGUUCCGGACACGUGGUAGAUGUGCUCAGACAACAUUAGCUGUAUGAAUGAAAGAACUUCUUAUGAUACCCAAAUCUGGCAGCCACAAGUCUCAUUACAAUUUACUUUAUGGAGGGUCCCCAUUGGUAAUAAGGUCUAUUAAUUGUAGAAUUGUCCCUGCUGACUUUAAGAGACUUCACUCUGUGUCCUUUUAUGCUGACAGAGCCUACAACUUUUUUCAUCUCCAAUAAUCUUCAGCUCCAGGCCAAAAAAAAGUUGUUCUUGCCCUGCUCACAUUAAUUGAAAUAAGUCAGUGAGAUUCCUUCUGCCCACCACCUCACUUCUCACUAGCAUGGGGCUCAGCUACCAUUAGAGAUGUUAGAGUGGGGCUGUUGUGCAGUUCUUCAGACUAUUAGUGCUGUAUGCUAUGUUCUGAGGAGGGUUCGGGCUUUUAUCUUCUCAAAAAUGUGUAAAAUU